rnacentral:lncRNA from 1 species
AAUUUUAUGUUUCAUAUCUAAAAUUUGGAAUUUAUACGAAAAUUAAAUUAAACUAAACUUAUAUAAUGGGGGAAAUCACAUGUUUACCACUUUCAUGCUACAACUUUUUUAUUUUUACUACCACUAAAAGAACAUUUUUAAAAAUAUCUUCUUCAUUAAGUGGCAAAAGACUCUUAUGCUCUUGUUCUUUAUAUAUAUAAUAAAUAAAUAUUUAAAUAAAUAAAAAUCUAUUUUUUUUUCGAAUUAUACUAUUUCGAAAUUCAAACUCUAACCAUAAAAUUAACCUCUAAACCCUAAACCAUCAAUCAUAAACCUUUUUUUUAAUACGAACUCUAAACACUAAACCAUCAAUACUAAAUCCUAUUUUUUUUUGAAAUACGAACCCUAAACCCUAAACCAUCAACCAUAAACCCUGAAACAUUAACUCUAAACCCUAAACCCUAAACCUUCAAAUCUAAACCUAAAACAUCAACUCUAAACCCUAAAACCUAAACUUCAACUCUAAACUCUAAACCAUCAACACUAAACCCUAAA